AAUGAACGCUGGCGGCGUGCUUAACACAUGCAAGUCGUACGAGAAACCCCGGCUUGCCGGGGGAGUAAAGUGGCGCACGGGUGAGUAACGCGUGGGUAAUCUACCCUCGAAUUGGGGAUAACACACCGAAAGGUGUGCUAAUACCGAAUAAGACCACGACCUCCACGGGGGUUGCGGUCAAAGAUGGCCUCUGCUUGCAAGCUGUCGUUUGAGGAUGAGCCCGCGUACCAUUAGCUUGUUGGUGGGGUAAUGGCCUACCAAGGCAACGAUGGUUAGCUGGUCUGAGGGGAAGGCCAGCCACACUGGAACUGGAACACGGGCCAGACUCCUACGGGAGGCAGCAGGGAGGAAUUUUGCGCAAUGGGGGAAACCCUGACGCAGCAACGCCGCGUGAGUGAAGAAGGCCGUCGGGUUGUAAAGCUCUGUCAAGUGGGAAGAACCUUUUUCGGCCGAAUACGCCGAGAAACUGACGGUACCGCUGAAGGAAGCACCGGCUAACUCCGUGCCAGCCGCCGCCGUAA
rnacentral:rRNA from 1 species